AGAGAAUGUGGCGGGCUGAAAAGGUUUCCCCACCCUUGUUCUAAACCAUGGAACCUCUUUCCCUCUGAACUUAGCAUUCAUACCACUUUGAAGACCAUCGGUGGAAAAGUGGUGCAGAAAUCUUUUGAAUUAAGUAUUCUGUCCUCAGUGGUGGAGGGAUUCUGCAACAAAGGAGCUCACAUUCAGCUACCCAUCUGAAGGGCAGACGCUGGAACAACUAUUCUGAUCUAUUGCCUUGGGACGUUUUUGGAUUUAACAGAAACCUUCAGUGGGAGUCAUUGAUGUUGACUAUUUUAAUUCAGUAACGCCAGUGAGCAACGUGCGAAAGAGGCAGGGCCAAGGUGAACAACCCAGGUAGCAAUGUGUGAAUCGCACCCUUUGGUGGGGGCCCCCUAAACCGCGACUGUUCUCUGCUUCUCCCGUUGCAAACCCAGAGUCCCGUCUUUCUCCUUUUUCUUGUUAGUGCUUACAGAGGCAGAGGCACCCCCCCCACACACACAUACAGAUGUUAGGGCGAUUAUUUGUAUGUGCCAUGAACAACCCCCCCCUACAAAGACCACACAAUAUGCUUUGGGACAGCAACAGCAGCACCACAGGAAACAGUUAGUUGGUUAGGCUGCACAGAAGGCACACAGCAAGCAACCAUCACAGUUAAGGCACAGAGAGAGAGAGAGAGAGGGAGGGAGAGGGGUGGUGAGGGAAGGGAGCCCCCCUCCUCUCCCAACCCACAGAGCGCCAGAGCCACACCUCUCAGGAUCUGAACCCACCCAUGCGCAGAAGACCAAAGGCUGCUCUUCCCUCCCAGCCCAAUGGAUGUGCCCUGAGCGCCAUCUUCUGGCCACAGAGCAGACUGCUUCUCCACCAGCCAACCAGCAAGCAGGAUCUGUUAUCUCCUGUUGCAUUGUGGGUGGGUAAGAGCAAAAAGGAAGGAAGCUGGUGGCUGGCUCCCCAAUCCAGCAUUUCCUAAAGCUCAGCCAGCAGGAAAAAAUGGAAAUGGCCUGCCUUCAAGUCGAUCCCGACUUAUAGCAACCCCACGAAUAGGGCUUUCGUGGUAAGCGGUAUUCAGAGGGGUUUACCAUUGCCUUCCUCUGAGGCUGA